rnacentral:rRNA from 1 species
UGUAGUCUGCAACCCGACUACAUGAAGCCGGAAUCGCUAGUAAUCGCGGAUCAGAAUGCCGCGGUGAAUACGUUCCCGGGUCUUGUACACACCGCCCGUCACACCAUGGGAGUCGGGAAUGCCCGAAGUCAGUGACCCAACCUUAGGGAGGGAGCUGCCGAAGGCAGGCCUGGUGACUGGGGUGAAGUCGUAACAAGGUACC